rnacentral:rRNA from 1 species
GACGGAGGGUGCUAGCGUUGUUCGGAAUGACUGGGCGUAAAGGGCGCGUAGGCGGCUCGUGAAGUCGGGUGUGAAAGCCCGGGGCUCAACCCCGGAACGGCAUCCGAUACUGGCGGGCUUGAGACCGGGAGAGGAGGGUGGAAUACCCAGUGUAGAGGUGAAAUUCGUAGAUAUUGGGUGGAACACCGGUGGCGAAGGCGGCUCUCUGGACGGUAACUGACGCUGAGACGCGAAAGCGUGGGGAGCAAACAGG